GACGAACGCUGGCGGCGUGCUUAACACAUGCAAGUCGAACGGAAAGGCCCUGCUUUUGUGGGGUGCUCGAGUGGCGAACGGGUGAGUAACACGUGAGUAACCUGCCCUUGACUUUGGGAUAACUUCAGGAAACUGGGGCUAAUACCGGAUAGGAGCUCCUGCUGCAUGGUGGGGGUUGGAAAGUUUCGGCGGUUGGGGAUGGACUCGCGGCUUAUCAGCUUGUUGGUGGGGUAGUGGCUUACCAAGGCUUUGACGGGUAGCCGGCCUGAGAGGGUGACCGGCCACAUUGGGACUGAGAUACGGCCCAGACUGCUACGGGAGGCAGCAGUGGGGAAUAUUGCACAAUGGGCGGAAGCGUGAUGCAGCAACGCCGCGUGCGGGAUGACGGCCUUCGGGUUGUAAACCGCUUUCGCCUGUGACGAAGCGUGAGUGACGGUAAUGGGUAAAGAAGCACCGGCUAACUACGUG
rnacentral:rRNA from 1 species